ensembl:ncRNA C50C3.15 ncRNA
GUGAUGGAAGCCAGAAGUAUAUUUUAAAAAAGAACCCGAGAAAAAGAAUGGGAAAAAAGUCAGAAUAUAUACACGGUGGUCAUGGAUUUCUAAAACAAAAUAGUCUGAAGAGAGAAAGAAAAGCACGGAAAACUACCCAACUGCAAACGGGAUUCGUUACGAGAGAAAGAAGGAAGAAAAGCUUCACGUUCUCUGCGUCUUCUUCUCUCAUCAUACUAUUUCUUCCAACCCCUGGCGCCAAAUCGAUGUGACGAAGGGGGGGGGGGGCUAGGAGAGAGAAGAGAAAGGGAGAAGCUGUGCGACCAGCGGAGCAAAGAAGUAAUGAGCAUGUACACUUUAAGCUGUAUAGUGUAAG